rnacentral:rRNA from 1 species
AUGGGCAGAUCUGCUGGAGCUUCUCAGGUCCUCCCGGCGCACCAGGAAGACGAGGACCUGUUCGAGACCUCGUCCUCCUUUUCCUGCAACUCCGACGACGACGAGGCCCGGUUUUCAGACGGCGAGGACCAGUUUGUGCCGGCUUCCCCGGUGCGGAGACUGAAUUCCGAUGGCGUCUACGAUCUGUCGUCCAUGAAGGCUGAGCUCUCUGCCAAGAAAGGGCUGUCAAAAUACUACGACGGCAAGUCCCAGUCGUUCGCGUGCAUGUCCGAGGUGAGGUGCCUGGAGGAUCUGCCCAAGAAGAACCCCUACAAGAAGAUCAAGUCGUGCAGGAGCAACAUCGAUCUGGACAGUUACCAGACAGCUUGCCCCGUACCUGCUCCCAACACCAACAGCAAGGGAAUUGCCAAGCAGAGCUCCGCGAGCUCCUGCGCGAAUCUGAUGAUGGCGCGGACCAGCAGCGCCAACAUGCUCUACAGGCCUCCCGCGAUCCCUGUCAACAAGAGCGCGUGCCAUCAGUAG